rnacentral:rRNA from 1 species
UGGGGAAUAUUGCACAAUGGGCGCAAGCCUGAUGCAGCCAUGCCGCGUGUGUGAAGAAGGCCUUCGGGUUGUAAAGCACUUUCAGCGAGGAGGAAGGUGGUGAGCUUAAUACGCUCAUCAAUUGACGUUACUCGCAGAAGAAGCACCGGCUAACUCCGUGCCAGCAGCCGCGGUAAUACGGAGGGUGCAAGCGUUAAUCGGAAUUACUGGGCGUAAAGCGCACGCAGGCGGUUUGUUAAGUCAGAUGUGAAAUCCCCGGGCUCAACCUGGGAACUGCAUUCGAAACUGGCAAGCUAGAGUCUCGUAGAGGGGGAUAGAAUUCCAGGUGUAGCGGUGAAAUGCGUAGAGAUCUGGAGGAAUACCGGUGGCGAAGGCGGCCCCCUGGANGAAGACUGACGCUCAGGUGCGAAA